rnacentral:rRNA from 1 species
CGCGCAGGCGGUUUUGUAAGUCAGAUGUGAAAUCCCGGGGCUCAACCCCGGAAGUGCAUUUGAUACUGCAAGGCUUGAGUAUGGGAGAGGGAAGCGGAAUUCCUGGUGUAGCGGUGAAAUGCGUAGAUAUCAGGAGGAACACCGGUGGCGAAGGCGGCUUCCUGGACCAAUACUGACGCUGAGGCGCGAAGGCGUGGGGAGCGAACA